AUGGCUGCCAAAGCUUUCAAGUCCAUGGGAAAGCUCAGUCUGGUGUUAGCAGUUGCAGUAGGUGUGGUGAACUCUGCUUUAUGUAAUGUAGGUGUUGGACACAGAACUGUUUUCUCUGACAAAUUCCAUGGAGUACAGGACAUUGUGGUAAGGAAAGGGAUUCACUUUCUCAACCCUUGGGUAGAGAAACCAAUUAUCUUUGACUGCUGCUUUUGACCAUGAAAUGUGCCCAUUGUCACCGGGAGCAGACUUGCAGAAUGUCAACAUCACAUUGAUCAUCCUCUUCUGGCUGAUUGCCAGCUAGUUUCCUCAUUCCUAUACAAGCAUUGGUGAGGACUAUGAUGAGCGAGUGUUGCCAUCUAUCACCACAGAGAUCUUCAAGUUGGUGGUGGCUCAAAUCGAUGCUGGAGAGUUAGUUACCCAGCGAGAACUGGUCUCCAGGCAGGUGAGCGAUGACCUCACAGAGCAAGCAGCAACAUUUGGGCUUAUCCUGGAUGACAUAUACCUGACACAUCUGACCUUCAGGAAGGAGUUCACAGAGACAAUAAAAGCCAAACAGAUGGCUCAGCAGGAAGCAAGAGAGAGCCAGAUUUAUGGUGGAAAAGGCUGAGCAGCAGCAGAAGGCAGCCAUCAUCUCUGCUGAGAGUGACUCCAAGGAAGAUGAGCUGAUUGUCAAUUCGCUGGCCACAGCAGAUGCUGGCCUGAUUGAGCUGCAAAAGCUGGAAGCUGCUGAGGACAUUGCAUACCAGCACUGCCACUCUCCGAACAUCAUCUACCUGCCAGCAGGGCAGUCUGUGCUCCUCCAGCUUCUCCAGUGA
rnacentral:lncRNA from 1 species